GUAUAUUUCGGGAAUAUAGGCAUAAUGCCCGUUAAUACUUGAACGUAUUAUGCUGAUAUUCACGAGAUCCGCU
rnacentral:pre_miRNA from 1 species